GACGAACGCUGGCGGCGUGCUUAACACAUGCAAGUCAAGGGGGCCCACGCGAAUGGGCAACCGGCGAACGGGUGCGUAACACGUGAGCAACCUACCGAAGUGUGGGGGAUAGCCGGCCUAACGGCCGAGUAAUACCGCAUACGAUUCCGAAGAGGCACUUCUUUGGAAUGGAAACCUACGGGGUACUUCGAGGGGCUCGCGGCCUAUCAGCUAGUUGGUGAGGUAACGGCUUCACCAAGGCAACGACGGGAGCUGGUCUGAGAGGAUGGCCAGCCACAUUGGGACUGAGAAACGGCCCAGACUCCUACGGGA
rnacentral:rRNA from 1 species